rnacentral:rRNA from 2 species
UGGGGAAUAUUGGGCAAUGGGCGAAAGCCUGACCCAGCGACGCCGCGUGAGGGAAGAAGAUCUUCGGAUUGUAAACCUUAGUCAACAGGGAAGAAGAAAGUGACGGUACCUGUGGAGGAAGCCACGGCUAACUACGUGCCAGCAGCCGCGGUAAUACGUAGGUGGCGAGCGUUAUCCGGAAUUACUGGGUGUAAAGGGUGUGUAGGCGGGCUUGCAAGUCAGGUGUGAAAACUAUGGGCUCAACCCAUAGCCUGCACUUGAAACUGUAGGUCUUGAGAGUCGGAGAGGUAAACGGAAUUCCGAGUGUAGCGGUGAAAUGCGUAGAUAUUCGGAGGAACACCGGUGGCGAAGGCGGUUUACUGGACGACAACUGACGCUGAGACACGAAAGCGUGGGGAGCAAACAGG